CACCUGCAGUGGCCACCCUGGGUCCGGGGUCUCCACCGGGCAGCCCAGCAUCAGAGCCCUCACUCCGACCCUCCCUACCCUAGGCCGCGUCCUGGCCUGGGAGCUUCUGGGCUGGGAGGCUGCCUGGGGCGUGGCGCACUCUGCCCCCUCGGCCCCCUGGCUCCUCCCACCCCCAGAGGCUGGGUGGCCUCUUGCCUGCCCACCGCCUCGGAGCCUUUUUCUCAGGCUCGCUUCCCUGAGAACCUCUGUCAUAAAGAAGGCGAGGCACUGAUCCGGCCUGUCUUUCCGCCCCCGGGCCUUCCUCACCCCAGGCAACCUUGGUUAUAAAUAUGGGGGUCACGCCUUGCAUGUGUAUUAAGCAGCUUUCAUCUGGGGAGCUCCUGGCUGCUGGGAGGCUAAUUAGCUGCUUUCUGGGAAGAGUGAGUAAGAGCUGACAUCCCAGCUGGGACACUGGCUAACUAGACACCAGCUUGCUAUAGACUUGGGGCCGGCCCUCCUGGGAAGACUUGGGGACACCCUCAGCUCAGGCCACUCACCCCCACAUUUCUCCUUGCUGUAGGACCUCUUCAAAAGGACCCUCUUCUCGGGCUGCUACUGAAAGUCACCGUCUGUGCAAGGACUCGCCAAGCUCCUUCUGUCCACUGAACGCGCCCAGGUGCGCCGAGAACUGGGUGCGGGCUGUGGUGAGCCCAUGACACCACGGUCCCCAUUACAGAGCUGUGCUCUUCGCUGCCGUAAGACCGUGGCUUCCUCGCGCGACCUCGUGUAAUUGAUGAGAAACCCUUAGCUCAGUGUCUUGCAUGGAAUAAGCAGUCGAUAGGUGGUAGCUAUUACUAUUUAUCUUCAGAAUAACCCUAUGAGGUGAGAAAACUGGGGAAGGAAGUGACUGUGUAAGGUGGCAGGCCUAGUGGGCGGACGCCCCCCCAUCACAGCAUGAGGACUGAAGACGCAGUGGACAGCAGCAGGGGCUCACCCCCCUGCUCCCCGCAGCUGGCAUGGACACUAGCAACAAGCAUCCUCUCGAAAGAAUACACUAUCCCACAUAUUUCAAAAGCUUGCCUGCUGCCACUUCACUGUUACAGAGGCCCUACAUCAGCACGUUCCUGUUUGCGCCAACCAAAAGAAAUCCGAAGAGGAUUUUCGCUUUCGUCAGGGAAGGUGAAAACUGAAAGCAGCCUUCAGCCUCUGUUUUGCAGCCAGCAUCCUAGGGCCAGCGCACACCCUGAACGGUGGCAGUGGCGCCACCAAGCUCCUGACCCCGGAACUGUGCCCAGCGUCAAGUUGCCAUAGGCCUGUGAGCAUCUGUGCUUCAUGGCGAUGUAUCUCGUGCAUGCCUGUGUUUACAGUGUGUUACUUUAGGUUUUGUGUGAUAGUCAGUAUGAUUUGGUAGGUUUGGGGGCCUGGGAGCACUCAAAAUAUUUUCCAUAUAAAUGAAUGGUAAUCGUUUUUUGCUCUACGCCAUUUUGGCUUGUGAUAGGAGGAACAUUCGAAUUUCUUGAACAGUGGGCGGAACCCGCACCUGGCUUCCACCUGCCAGCCCCGUCUGCCCCCCAAGGCCUGCCCGGGGCGCUGUGGGCAGUGCUUGCAGCAGGCUGGGGCAGGGAGGGUGCACCCCUCCUACCUGCCCUGCAAGGUGCCUGGAGCAGAGGGAGAGCGCAGGACCGGCCUCACAUCCUGUGGCAUGCCUCCCCAGGCACUGCAGUGACUCCAGCGCACACAUACACAGGAGGCGCUUAAAAGUGCGCCCCAGAAAAAUGGCCGUGUCCUGGCCCCGAGGGCUUGGGAAGGAGCCUACGCAGAUCUGGUUCAGGCAGCAACAAGUCCAUGGGCAACAGGCUGAGGUUCCCGAAGGCGGGACGCCGUUCUUGGGCACUGAAGGAGAUGGCUGCAGGCGAAGGGUCCAGCGUGUCUCCUCCCUUUCUCUGAAUGUGGCGCCUUCCGAAGAGGCAGGUCUCUGGGUACCAGAUGAAUAGACCUCGGUGCUCUGCCCCCCGGCCCCACCACAUCCCCCACCUUUCAAAUGGAAUAUUUUUUUAAAGAUUAUUUGUUGAAACAGGUCUGUCUCUUCUGUUAGUCUAAACCCCACUUAGUGGGGUGGGAUCGUGGUCACGGGCACUUCUUGUCCUGCGUGCCCACAGGGUGCGUUAUAUUGGCCAAUGAGUGAGCGCUCGGACCCACAGGACAAGAUGAGAGAGCCAAGACUGUA